AAUGGCUUUAAUAAGAACGGCCGGUAUAGAGCAAUAAGAGAACGCAGCAGUUUUAUUCUGAAUAUCUUAGACGCAGAACCAUCAGAUUCAGCAACAUACUACUGUGCAGUUGUGGAUUAUUCAAACCUUGGAUUAGGAGCUUGCACAGUUUUAGUCCUUAAAGGCAGAUUUUCUGUUCUCCAGCCUCCUGUAUCAGAUCCUGUUGAACUGGGAGGAGAUACAACUUUGCAGUGUUCAAUACUCACAGAUGCGUCUGCAGGAGAUCACAGUGUGUACUGGUUCAGACAUGGAUCAGGAGAAUCCCAUCCAGGAAUCAUUUACACUCAUGGAAACAGGAGUGAUGAGUGUAAGAAAAGCUCUGAGACUGAUUCUCCUACACAGAGCUGUGUCUACAAACUCCCCAAGAGAAACCUCAGCCUCUCUGAUGCUGGAACUUACUACUGUGCUGUGCUCAUGUGUGGAGAGAUCAUCUUUGGGAGUGGAACUAAACUGGACUUUGAAGGUUGA